CAUUAAGAAGCUAUGAACCAGCAUUAGCCUUUUAAGCUAAAGAAAGAGGGUCCUCCCCUCCUUAAUGA
rnacentral:tRNA from 1 species